rnacentral:rRNA from 1 species
AACGAACGCUGGCGGCAUGCCUAACACAUGCAAGUCGAACGAGACCUUCGGGCAUAGUGGCGCACGGGUGCGUAACGCGUGGGAACCUGCCCUUAGGUUCGGAAUAACUCCCCGAAAGGGGUGCUAAUACCGGAUAAUGUCUUCGGACCAAAGAUUUAUCGCCUUUGGAUGGGCCCGCGUUGGAUUAGCUAGUUGGUAGGGUAAAAGCCUACCAAGGCGACGAUCCAUAGCUGGUCUGAGAGGAUGACCAGCCACACUGGGACUGAGACACGGCCCAGACUCCUACGGGAGGCAGCAGUGGGGAAUAUUGGACAAUGGGCGAAAGCCUGAUCCAGCAAUGCCGCGUGAGUGAUGAAGGCCUUAGGGUUGUAAAGCUCUUUUACCCGGGAUGAUAAUGACAGUACCGGGAGAAUAAGCUCCGGCUAACUCCGUG